AGAGUAGAUACCCUGGUAGUCCACGCCGUAAACGAUGUCUACUAGCUGUAGGGGUACUUGAGACCUUUGUAGCGCAGCUAACGCACUAAGUAGACCGCCUGGGGAGUACGGCCGCAAGGUUAAAACUCAAAUGAAUUGACGGGGGCCCGCACAAGCAGUGGAGCAUGUGGUUUAAUUCGAUGCAACGCGAAGAACCUUACCACACCUUGACAUGGUGUGUAUGAGUUACAGAAUCGUAACUCUUCAGUUCGGCUGGCACACACACAGGUGCUGCAUGGCUGUCGUCAGCUCGUGUUG
rnacentral:rRNA from 1 species